GUCCACGCCGUAAACGAUGAAUGCCAGCCGUUAGUGGGUUUACUCACUAGUGGCGCAGCUAACGCUUUAAGCAUUCCGCCUGGGGAGUACGGUCGCAAGAUUAAAACUCAAAGGAAUUGACGGGGCCCGCACAAGCGGUGGAGCAUGUGGUUUAAUUCGACGCAACGCGCAGAACCUUACCAGCCCUUGACAUCCCGGUCGCGGACUCCAGAGAUGGAGUUCUUCAGUUCGGCUGGACCGGAGACAGGUGCUGCAUGGCUGUCGU
rnacentral:rRNA from 1 species